GACGAACGCUGGCGGCGUGCUUAACACAUGCAAGUCGAGCGGCGCGGCGAACGGGUGAGUAACGCGUGAGUAACUGCCCCCCUCUCUGGGAUAACAGUUUGAAACGGCUGCUAAUACCGGAUAGUGGGGGAUGCCUCGCGUCCUAUCAGCUUGUUGGUGGGGUAGUGGCCUACCAAGGCGACGACGGGUAGCCGGCCUGAGAGGGCGACCGGCCACAGUGGGCUGAGAUACGGCCAAAACUCAGACGGGAGGCAGCAGUGGGGAAUAGUGCACAAUGGGGGAAACCCUGAUGCAGGAACGCCGGGUGCGGGAUGACGGCCGUCGGGUUGUAAACCGCUUUCAGCCAUGAAGCGGUAGUGGCAGAAGAAGCGCCGGCUAACUACGUGCCAGCAGCCGCGGUAAUAC
rnacentral:rRNA from 1 species